rnacentral:rRNA from 1 species
GACGAACGCUGGCGGCGUGCUUAACACAUGCAAGUCGAACGACGAAGCUGGAGCUUGCUCCGGUGGAUUAGUGGCGAACGGGUGAGUAACACGUGAGCAAUCUGCCCUUGACUCUGGGAUAACUGCGGGAAACUGUAGCUAAUACCGGAUAUGAGAUCUGAAGGCAUCUUCGGGUUUGGAAAGAAUUUCGGUCAAGGAUGAGCUCGCGGCCUAUCAGCUAGUUGGUGAGGUAAUGGCUCACCAAGGCGACGACGGGUAGCCGGCCUGAGAGGGUGACCGGCCACACUGGAACUGAGACACGGUCCAGACUCCUACGGGAGGCAGCAGUGGGGAAUAUUGCACAAUGGGCGAAAGCCUGAUGCAGCAACGCCGCGUGAGGGAUGAAGGCCUUCGGGUUGUAAACCUCUUUUAGCAGGGAAGAAGCGAAAGUGACGGUACCCGCAGAAAAAGCACCGGCUAACUACGUGCCAGCAGCCGCCGUAA